AGGUAAGCUACUAAGAGCGAAUGGUGGAUGCCUUGACUGGUAAAGGCGAUGAAGGACGUACUAGACUGCGAUAAGCUACGGGGAGCUGUCAAGAAGCUUUGAUCCGUAGAUUUCCGAAUGGGGCAACCCAAUGUAUAGAGAUAUACAUUACCUAUAUAGGAGCGAACGAGGGGAAUUGAAACAUCUUAGUACCCUCAGGAAAAGAAAUCAAUAGAGAUUGCGUCAGUAGCGGCGAGCGAAAGCGUAAGAGGGCAAACCCAGUGCUUGCACUGGGGGUUGUAGGACUGCAAUGUGCAAGAGGUGAGUUUAGCAGAACAUUCUGGAAAGUAUAGCCAUAGAGGGUGAUAGUCCCGUAUGCGAAAAACAAACCUUAGCUAGCAGUAUCCUGAGUAGGGCGGGACACGAGAAAUCCUGUCUGAAGCUGGGUCGACCACGAUCCAACCCUAAAUACUAAUACCAGAUCGAUAGUGCACAAGUACCGUGAGGGAAAGGUGAAAAGAACUGAGGUGAUCAGAGUGAAAUAGAACCUGAAACCAUUUGCUUACAAUCAUUCAGAGCACUAUGUAGCAAUACAGUGUGAUGGACUGCCUUUUGCAUAAUGAGCCUGCGAGUUGUGGUGUCUGGCAAGGUUAAGCAAACGCGAAGCCGUAGCGAAAGCGAGUCUGAAUAGGGCGCUUAGUCAGAUGCUGCAGACCCGAAACGAAGUGAUCUAUCCAUGAGCAAGUUGAAGCUAGUGUAAGAACUAGUGGAGGACUGAACCCAUAGGCGUUGAAAAGCCCCGGGAUGACUUGUGGAUAGGGGUGAAAGGCCAAUCAAACUUCGUGAUAGCUGGUUCUCUCCGAAAUAUAUUUAGGUAUAGCGUUGUGUCGUAAUAUAAGGGGGUAGAGCACUGAAUGGGCUAGGGCAUACACCAAUGUACCAAACCCUAUCAAACUCCGAAUACCUUAUAUGUAAUCACAGCAGUCAGGCGGCGAGUGAUAAAAUCCGUCGUCAAGAGGGAAACAACCCAGACUACCAGCUAAGGUCCCUAAAUCUUACUUAAGUGGAAAACGAUGUGAAGUUACUUAAACAACCAGGAGGUUGGCUUAGAAGCAGCCAUCCUUUAAAGAAAGCGUAAUAGCUCACUGGUCUAGUGAUUUUGCGCGGAAAAUAUAACGGGGCUAAAGUAAGUACCGAAGCUGUAGACUUGCGCACAACUUAGAUUAUUUAAGUUUAGAAUAUGAGAAACUAAGUUAUAUGUUUAGUUAUAUUUUUACUGAUUUUUAUAGAGUAAAGAUAGAAAUAAAACUUAGUAAAAUCAGUAAAAAUAUUCUUAGACUAAAGUUAAGUAGUUUAAGUUGUGUGCAAGUGGUAGGAGAGCGUUCUAUUUGCGUCGAAGGUAUACCGGUAAGGAGUGCUGGAGCGAAUAGAAGUGAGCAUGCAGGCAUGAGUAGCGAUAAUUAAUGUGAGAAUCAUUAACGCCGUAAACCCAAGGUUUCCUACGCGAUGCUCGUCAUCGUAGGGUUAGUCGGGUCCUAAGUCGAGUCCGAAAGGGGUAGACGAUGGCAAAUUGGUUAAUAUUCCAAUACCAACAUUAGUGUGCGAUGGAAGGACGCUUAGGGCUAAGGGGGCUAGCGGAUGGAAGUGCUAGUCUAAGGUCGUAGGAGGUUAUACAGGCAAAUCCGUAUAACAAUACUCCGAGAACUGAAAGGCUUUUUGAAGUCUUCGGAUGGAUAGAAGAACCCCUGAUGCCAUCGAGCCAAGAAAAGUUUCUAAGUUUAGCUAAUGUUGCCCGUACCGUAAACCGACACAGGUGGGUGGGAUGAGUAUUCUAAGGCGCGUGGAAGAACUCUCUUUAAGGAACUCUGCAAAAUAGCACCGUAUCUUCGGUAUAAGGUGUGGUUCGCUUCGUAUUAGGAUUUACUCCGAAAGCGAAGAAACUUACAACAAAGAGUCCCUCCCGACUGUUUACCAAAAACACAGCACUCUGCUAACUCGUAAGAGGAUGUAUAGGGUGUGACGCCUGCCCGGUGCUCGAAGGUUAAUUGAUGGGGUUAGCAUUAGCGAAGCUCUUGAUCGAAGCCCGAGUAAACGGCGGCCGUAACUAUAACGGUCCUAAGGUAGCGAAAUUCCUUGUCGGUUAAAUACCGACCUGCAUGAAUGGCGUAACGAGAUGGGAGCUGUCUCAAAGAGGGAUCCAGUGAAAUUGUAGUGGAGGUGAAAAUUCCUCCUACCCGCGGCAAGACGGAAAGACCCCGUGGACCUUUACUACAGCUUGACACUGCUAUUUGGAUAAGAAUGUGCAGGAUAGGUGGGAGGCUUUGAGUAUAUGACGCCAGUUGUAUAUGAGCCAUUGUUGAGAUACCACUCUUUCUUAUUUGGGUAGCUAACCAGCUUGAGUUAUCCUCAAGUGGGACAAUGUCUGGUGGGUAGUUUGACUGGGGCGGUCGCCUCCCAAAUAAUAACGGAGGCUUACAAAGGUUGGCUCAGAACGGUUGGAAAUCGUUCGUAGAGUAUAAAGGUAUAAGCCAGCUUAACUGCAAGACAUACAAGUCAAGCAGAGACGAAAGUCGGUCUUAGUGAUCCGGUGGUUCUGUGUGGAAGGGCCAUCGCUCAAAGGAUAAAAGGUACCCCGGGGAUAACAGGCUGAUCUCCCCCAAGAGCUCACAUCGACGGGGAGGUUUGGCACCUCGAU
rnacentral:rRNA from 1 species